rnacentral:rRNA from 1 species
UACGUAGGGUGCAAGCGUUGUCCGGAAUUAUUGGGCGUAAAGAGCUCGUAGGCGGUCUGUCGCGUCUGCUGUGAAAACUCAGGGCUUAACCCUGAGCUUGCAGUGGGUACGGGCAGACUAGAGUGCGGUAGGGGAGACUGGAAUUCCGUGGUGUAGCGGUGAAAUGCGCAGAUAUCAGGAGGAACACCUAUGGGCGAAGGCAGCUCGCUGGGACGGUAUUGACGCUGGAGACGCGAAAGCCGUGGGGAGCAAACAGG